rnacentral:tRNA from 1 species
GGUGGCUCAGUGGUAGAGUGCUUGCCUUGCAUGCAUGAAGCCCUGGGUUCGAUACCUCAGUACCA